rnacentral:rRNA from 1 species
AGAGUUUGAUCCUGGCUCAGGACGAACGCUGGCGGCGUGCCUAACACAUGCAAGUCGAGCGAGAAAGUACCCUUCGGGGUGCGAGUACAGCGGCGAACGGGUGAGUAACACGUGGGCAACCUGCCCUGAGGACCGGGAUAACCUCGGGAAACCGAGGCUAAUACCGGACGUGUCUGUUCCACAUAAGUGGUUCAGGCAAAGGUAGCUUAGGCUUCCGCCUCAGGAUGGGCCCGCGACCUAUCAGCUUGUUGGUGAGGUAACGGCUCACCAAGGCUACGACGGGUUGCUGGUCUGAGAGGAUGAUCAGCCACACGGGGACUGAGACACGGCCCAGACUCCUACGGGAGGCAGCAGUGGGGAAUCUUGCGCAAUGGGCGAAAGCCUGACGCAGCAACGCCGCGUGAGUGAAGAAGGCCUUUGGGUCGUAAAGCUCUGUCGACAGGGAAGAAGUUAUUGAUAUCCAAUAGGUAUCAAUAUUGACGGUACCUGUAGAGGAAGCACCGGCUAACUCCGUGCCAGCAGCCGCGGUAAUACGGGGGGUGCAAGCGUUAUUCGGAAUUAUUGGGCGUAAAGUGCGCGUAGGCGGUCUUGUCGGUCAGAUGUGAAAUCCCGGGGCUCAACCCCGGACGUGCAUUUGAAACAGCAAGACUUGAGUACGGGAGAGGAGAGCGGAAUUCCUGGUGUAGAGGUGAAAUUCGUAGAUAUCAGGAGGAACACCGAUGGCGAAGGCAGCUCUCUGGACCGAUACUGACGCUGAGGCGCGAAGGCGUGGGUAGCGAACAGGAUUAGAUACCCUGGUAGUCCACGCAGUAAACGAUGUUCACUAGGUGUGGCGGAUAUUAAAGUCUGCUGUGCCCAAGCUAACGCAUUAAGUGAACCGCCUGGGGAGUACGGUCGCAAGACUAAAACUCAAAGGAAUUGACGGGGGCCCGCACAAGCGGUGGAGCAUGUGGUUUAAUUCGACGCAACGCGAAGAACCUUACCUGGGUUUGACAUCCUGUGAAUUUCCCCUAAACGGGAAAGUGCCUUCGGGAGCACAGAGACAGGUGCUGCAUGGCUGUCGUCAGCUCGUGUCGUGAGAUGUUUGGUUAAGUCCAGCAACGAGCGCAACCCUUAUCGUUAGUUGCCAGCACAUAAUGGUGGGAACUCUAGCGAGACUGCCCCGGUUAACGGGGAGGAAGGUGGGGAUGACGUCAAGUCCUCAUGGCCCUUAUGUCCAGGGCUACACACGUGCUACAAUGGUAAAUACAGAGGGCAGCGAGCCUGCGAAGGUGAGCGAAUCCCAAAAGUUUAUCUCAGUCCGGAUUGGAGUCUGCAACUCGACUCCAUGAAGUUGGAAUCGCUAGUAAUCGCGGAUCAGCAUGCCGCGGUGAAUAUGUUCCCGGGCCUUGUACACACCGCCCGUCACACCAUGAGAGUUGAUUAUACCCGACGUCGUUGGGCUAACCCAGCUACUAACUUUGCCUAUCUGUUUUGGCAAUAAUCAAGACAGCUGGUUAGAGUUAGUAGCUGGGGGGCAGGCGCCUAAGGUAUGAUUGAUAAUUGGGGUGAAGUCGUAACAAGGUAA